ACGUUAGCGGCGGACGGGUGAGUAACACGUGGGUAACCUACCUAUAANACUGGGAUAACUUCGGGAAACCGGAGCUAAUACCGGAUAAUAUUUCGAACCGCAUGGUUCGAUAGUGAAAGAUGGUUUUGCUAUCACUUAUAGAUGGACCCGCGCCGUAUUAGCUAGUUGGUAAGGUAACGGCUUACCAAGGCGACGAUACGUAGCCGACCUGAGAGGGUGAUCGGCCACACUGGAACUGAGACACGGUCCAGACUCCUACGGGAGGCAGCAGG
rnacentral:rRNA from 1 species